UAGUUCAGUUGGUAGAGUGCUUGCCCAGCAUGCAUGAGGCCCUGGGUUCAAUUCCCAG
rnacentral:tRNA from 1 species